UGGGGAAUAUUGCACAAUGGAGGGAACUCUGAUGCAGCGACGCCGCGUGAGUGAAGAAGGUCUUCGGAUCGUAAAUCUCUGUCCUUGGGGAAGAAAACUGACGGUACCCAAGGAGGAAGCCCCGGCUAACUACGUGCCAGCAGCCGCGGUAAUACGUAGGGGGCUAGCGUUGUCCGGAUUUACUGGGCGUAAAGGGUGAGCAGGCGGUAAUGUGUGUCAGGUGUAAAAGACGUAGGCUUAACUUACGUAAGCACUUGAAACUGCAUUACUUGAGUACAGGAGAGGUAAGCGGAAUUCCUAGUGUAGCGGUGAAAUGCGUAGAUAUUAGGAGGAACACCAGUGGCGAAGGCGGCUUACUGGACUGUAACUGACGCUGAGUCACGAAAGCGUGGGUAGCAAACAGG
rnacentral:rRNA from 1 species